rnacentral:lncRNA from 1 species
AACAAUACUUUGCAUACUUCAAUCAAGUUGACACUAUUAACCAUCACACUAUCUAAAUGUCUCUUGUUAUUAUUAUGAAUUCCAGGAUGUAGAAACUGUUACUAAGAGUGAGGAACAUCUCUCAACAAUGGACCAGAAUAAUCAAUGACAAUUUGAGAAUAUCACAUAAUUGAUAUUAAAAGUAUAACAUUUUCAUGGAGUAUAUAUAAAAACUGUGAAUAGAUUCAAAUGAAAUCUUUAUGAACAUGUUCGUAUUAUACUGUAAAAUGCAAUCAUAUGGCAGGAAUCUAUGAAUGUAAGUGCUAAAAAAGACAAUUUCUCACUUUCUCAGACCAUUGCUUAUUUUUAUUUUUUGUAGAGACGGGGUCUCACUAAGUCGCCCAGGUCCAACUCCUGGUCUUCAGCAAUUCUACAACCUCCAACCUUAGCUUCCCAGGGUAUUAGAAUUGCAGGCAUGAACCAUCACAUCUGACCAGAUCUUUUGUUUUUCUUUUUCUUUUUCUUUUUCUUUUUUUUUUUUUCAGAAUUGUUUCUUUACUUCCAUCCACUGAUAUUGAACCCUAAUAUGAGAAUAAAAGCAAGGAUUUUUAAUGUUUUUGAACGGCAGUGUUUGCCUUGUAUUUUCAGCUGGGGAAAAAAAAAAAGAAAAAGAAACAUGUUUAAACCAGAAAUUUUAGCAACAGCACUGACAUUCUGACUUUCAUGAAGAAAAUUCUUUGAAAGUUACUGGUAAUGUUCCAAAGCCAGAUCAUCUGCAGUUCACUCCUAUCAAAAAGCUUUCAUGGUUGAGAGUAACGCUCCUGGAAUUUCUUAGAUUAAACCUAAGAAAUUUGAGCUCACAGAGCUGCCACAAAAAAAAAAAAACAAAACAAAACAAAAAAAAAAAACACAUAUUUCUCAAAGAGAAAAUUCUCAUGGUCCCCAAAUGAAGGAAAAGAUAACUGACUUAUUUUUCAGCAUUUUUGGAAAGAAAGGCAGAUGACUAAAUAAUAAAUAUAUAAAUAAGGUUAUAUAUAUUAAGAUACGAUAUGACUUUAAAGUUUUCAGCAAAUAAUUUUGUAACUUAAGAUUAUACAUAAAUACUCUACCUUUAGAUCACAUUAUGUCUAACUGUUCAUACUUGUUUUUCAAAUCAGGUCGUUCAAGUCCCUGAAACUGUGUUACAGAGAAUGGUCAGAUAGAACAGCUCAUUUAAUUUGUAUUCCAAAGUCUAGGAUUACCAUCUACCCUGCAGUAAUGCUCACAUCCUUUUAGAAGUAUCCAGAAUUUUGGACAUAAAAACUCAGAGAGAUGUCAUUCUUAAUUUUAAAUGAAAAAAAAGCGAUAAAAGUUUACAUCCUGGUUACUUAAGUUUAAUAAUUCAGACUAAAAUGCCAAAUUUACAGAAAAUCAAGAAAUCUCAGAUUUUUUAAGGAUGUGACUGCAAUGCAUGAAAAUUGAGAACAUUUUUAUUACUAAAACAGUAAGCUAGA